rnacentral:rRNA from 1 species
ACGGAGGUGGCAGGCGUUACUCGGAUUGAUUGGGUGUAAAGGGUGUGUAGGUGGCGUACUAAGUCGAAUGUGAAAGCCCAUGGCUCAACCACGGAAUUGCAAUCGAAACUGGUAUGCUUGAGUACAUUAGAAGUAGAUGGAAUUCCCGGUGUAGCGGUGAAAUGUGUAGAUAUGACACAGAACACCGGUGGCGAAGGCAAUCCACUGAGAUGCUACUGACGCUGAGGCACGAGAGCGUGGGGAGCAAACAG